rnacentral:misc_RNA from 1 species
GAUGAAGAACGUAGCGAAAUGCGAUAAGUAAUGUGAAUUGCAGAAUUCAGUGAAUCAUCGAAUCUUUGAACGCACAUUGCGCCCGCCAGUAUUCUGGCGGGCAUGCCUGUCUGAGCGUCAUUUCAACCCUCAUGCCCCUAGGGCGUGGUGUUGGGGAUCGGCCAAAGCCCGCGAGGGACGGCCGGCCCCUAAAUCUAGUGGCGGACCCGUCGUGGCCUCCUCUGCGAAGUAGUGAUAUUCCGCAUCGNNNNNCGAUGAGCCCCUGCCGUUAAACCCCCAACUUUCCAAGGUUGACCUCAGAUCAGGUAGGAAUACCCGCUGAACUUAAGCAUAUCAAUAAGCGGAGGA